rnacentral:lncRNA from 1 species
CCUUCCAGGGUGUGGAAGCUUUGUUCUUUCGCUUUUUGCAAUAAAGCUUGCUGCUGCUCACUCUUUGGGUCCACACUGCCUUUAUGAGCUGUAACACUCAUCACGAAGGUCUGCAGCUUCACUCCUGCAGCCAACGAGACUACGAACCCACAGGGAGGAAGGAACAAUUACAGACGCGCUGGCUUAAGAGAUGUAACACUCACUGGGAGGUCCGCGCUUCACUCUUGAGCCAGCGAGACCACGAACCCACCAGAAGGAAGAAACUCCAAACACAUCCGAACAUCAGAACGAACAAACUCCGGACACACUGCCUUUAAGAACUGUAACACUCACCGCGAGGGUCCGGGCUUGUCAGUGAGACCGAGAACCCACCCAUUCCAGACACAUCACCAAAGGCAGAGGGGAGCUCCUAAACAAAGAUAUUUUGCUUACAAAUGGAACAUGUGAAAUCAAGCUUUUGUGAACUUGAGGGAAGAGACAAAGAAUAUGAAGCCUAAAUGGAAGUGUCAGGAAAUGGUCGCCUUGCGGACAAGGAAACAGCAGCCUAGAAGGCCAGGAGAGGGCAGACUACCCACCUAACCCUCUACAGAAUUUUGUGUGGACCCUGGAGAUCAGAAACUAACUUCUCCUGCAGAGACAAGGUCUUGCUCUGUCACCCUGGCUGGUCUUGAACUCCUGGCUUCAAGCAAUUCAUCCAUCUCAGCCUCCUGAGUAGCUGGGAUUACAG